UAUGAUCGUAACACUAAAAAAUAUUACUAAAAUUCGUGAAAUCUUAUUGGGUUAUAGUUAUGUAAAUGAAAUUGAGUAAGGAAAGUUGUUGGGCCGAUUUUUGAUAAUGAAUAAAGGAUUACACACCUGAGCGGGUCGAAUGUUCGAAGCGACUGGAACACAUCGGUCGGUCAGUUGGGUUUUGACCAUUUUUAAGGAUACAUUUUCUAAUAAGUGGGAUAAAUGGUUUAAAUAAUUUUUCUCCUUAAGCUUUUAAAACCUAUGUAUAUAUAAAUAUUAAUAGAUAAAUAAAAACAAGUUUUGAACUAGUAAACAAUUUAUAAAUCAA